UUCCAUAGUUUACCAGGUCAAAGAGUCUUGACUUUUUUUUUCUGCUAUGUAGUUUAGCUUCCUUGUUACUGCAGAAGAUCAAGAAUUGGCCUAGUGUAAAAAGACUGUUCCAAAAGCCCAAGUAAAUUACAUUUCUGCUGGCCUUCCCAGGAAAAUGCCUGGGGAAGUAAUCUGUUGCUCUCAGUGGCCAGAGAGCUGCUGCUACACUUUGUAGCUUGUGCUGAAGAAAAAGGAUUCCUGCUGUCAUAGGCUCCAGCAUGAGUGAGGAUCUUCCUAGCCAGCCUCCAGUAUAGCGAGGUGGCAAAAUGACUCUGGAAUGCAGUGAAUGUCUCCACGUCUCCCAACACUGAUGGAAGACAGAUUCAAUUUAUUCCUAUAGAUCACUUACACUGACUAACUAACAGAAGCACACUUCACUAAGACACUUAUCGGGGCUGUAUCGUAGUUAUAGUUCCUUAUGAAUAACAAAGGUUCACACCAUAACAGUGGGAUAAGAACUCCAGAUCUCUGAAAUGCUUAUAAAAGGUCCCUAAAAAUUUUACAGUCUUCUUUAUUCAUUCUUCUCUGAGUGAAAGGAUUAAUGUGUCAGCACUACUUAUCAUUUCUAGUGUGGUUAAGUCCAGCAGACCCCCUGGUACUGGCUAUGCUGGGCACAGAUCUGAGGUAUCCUUGGCCAAUGGGGAGAAAUAACAGCAGGAGUACAGGAGUACACUUUCAGGACUUAUACGCCGUCUAUUUCUUUGGCUGGAGAAGAUUCAGAAGAUAAGAAGUGAGAGAGGAGUCAAUCAAGAAAAAUUAUUUGUGGCAACCUGACCAAAAGGACAAAACAAUUUGCUGUAGAUGAGUGAAAUGGCUGUUUUUACUGCUGAUGGAGUGUAUGUGCAAGGUUGAGCAAAUGUUUAAAAGUAAUACUGGGACCUAAGGGAAAGUGUUAUUAACUUGAUGUGAGUGAAAGGCUCAUUGGAGAGUGGGGCACAGGAGAUGAGAAACUGUGGAAGACUGAGCUGCAACCAUUGUAAGAAACACCUGAGGCAAGGAAAGGCAGGAGAAUAAAAAUUCAGAAAUCUUUUUUAAAAAUGCCUGAAGAUGAAGCUCAUUGAUGUUGACCUCAUGUCAUGAAACUAUCAAUCAACUAGAAAAAGGCAUUCAUCCAUCAUAGAAAAAGAAGACUGAAACAAUACCUGGAUUUUAAAAAUAAAUAAUCAUAAAUUUGCAUCUUUCUGUAACUUGGAGAUGGAUUGCAGAGAAGCAGUAGGUUGUUGGUAAGAUUGUUUUUUCUGUAAUUCAAGAAGAAAUACCAUUCAGCUUUAAAUAAAACACAACCGUGCUAACAAAGGACCUAUAUAAACAUCCUUAAAGAAACCUCUUCCCGUACUUCCCACUUAUAGCAGGUGGAGAGGAGUGAAAACAGAUCAUCCAAUCUGGAAGUUAUUUAUUUUGUUUUAAAACCUAAUAUAUUCUGAUCUGAUGCACUGAAAGGACCUAAAAGCUGAGUUGAUAUAUGGAAUUUUUUAAUGUGAAAAGUCUAGACAUAAACUGGGAUUAUAGUAAAAAUAUAUACUCACCCACCUGUGGAUUUAUGAAAUGGUGAAGUACAAAGACUCAUGACAGACAUAUAGUUUAGCAGCACUGGAUUCGCAUUUAAUCUACUUUUCACAUACGUUUUAAAAAAUCUUCAAUUAUCUGCAAAAGAUCUGCUUUCAUAAACUCCAUAAUUUAUCAGGGAUUAAAAGAGCAAUGUUUUGACAACAUAGCUGCUUUAAGUGCAACCCAUUUUUUCUACAUCAUUAAUCCAGAUUGAAUAGCUCCCAAAUUUUCUGACCCUGGUAAAUGUAUCCUUGCUGUUUACAUUUGUGCAAAUGAUACUUUUACUAUUCAGGUUGAAUUUCAGGGCUGUCUUAUGUCAAGAAAGUAUGUUUCAGAAACAGCUUUUUUUCUGUGUUUUGUAAGAGUAAAUAUUUCAUUGCUUUUCAGAACAAUUACAUUUGAGUGCAAAUCAAUCAGUGUGAUGCAACAGACUUCUGAAAUCAAAAACAAACCGCCUGCAAAAUGAAGUGGCUGCUUAUCCUAGAAUUACAGGUCUCUAGGAGACAGAGGGGUGACAACUAGCUUACUAAAUAAAAGAUGGUGGGGGAAAAAAGUCCUUCUAGAUAAUUGUUGCUUUCUUUGAACUUGAAACUAAUAGGUAGAAACUGGCUUUUCCAACUUCAAGCUUUUACUAGUUACCAUUUUCAAAAAUUAUUUAGCAAAGAGAUUUUUGCCAGGAAGAUUGACAAGAUAAACUCUUGAAGAAUUCCUUAUGAUUUCAGCAUUUUAAAUUUUAAAGUUUUGAUUUAAGAGUCCAGAAAAGCUUGUCAAAAUUAAGUUUUCAACAACCAUGGAAUGCAAUUUAGUACAUUGAAUUGAUAUAAAGAAACUGAAGAAUUAGAACUAAGUAGUUGUAUUUUUACAUACAACUCACUCCUAAAUUAUAUUUAUGUGGUGUUUAUUGCCUUUUAUUUAUUCUGUCAGGAAAUAAGUGCAACACAUGUGCUGUUUUAUCACAUGAGAUGUUAGUGUAAAAUACGUUAAGAAAAUUGUGGCAAUUAAUCCUCAGUCUCACCUGACAGAUGGUUUCUGCACUGCUUCAUCUUUCAACAAUUUUACUGUGAAUCCAAGCAGAUAAUGUAUUUGAGACAACAAUUUUGUUGGACACUAGGAAGAUAGAGUUAUUUCUAUUAUACUUGAAAAGUGUUGUAGUUUCCAAUGAA